rnacentral:rRNA from 1 species
UACGAAGGGGGCUAGCGUUGUUCGGAAUCACUGGGCGUAAAGCGCACGUAGGCGGAUGUGCCAGUCAGGGGUGAAAUCCCGGAGCUCAACUUCGGAACUGCCUCUGAUACAGCACGUCUUGAGUCCGGAAGAGGUGGGUGGAAUUCCUAGUGUAGAGGUGAAAUUCGUAGAUAUUAGGAAGAACACCGGUGGCGAAGGCGGCUCACUGGCCCGAUACUGACGCUGAGGCACGAAAGCGUGGGGAGCAAACAGG